rnacentral:rRNA from 1 species
GCGAAAACUUUACAAUGCUGGCAACAGCGAUAAGGGAACCCCGAGUGCCAGGUUACAAAUCUGGCUGUCGAGAUGCCUAAAAAGCAUUUCAUAGCAAGGGCCGGGCAAGACCGGUGCCAGCCGCCGCGGUAACACCGGCGGCUCGAGUGGUAACCGUUAUUAUUGGGUCUAAAGGGUCUGUAGCCGGCCGGAUAAGUCUCUUGAGAAAUCUGGCAGCCUAACUGUCAGGCUUUCAGGAGAUACUGUCUGGCUCGAGGCCGGGAGAGGUGAGAGGUACUUCAGGGGUAGGGGUGAAAUCUUGUAAUCCUUGAAGGACCACCAGUGGCGAAGGCGUCUCACCAGAACGGACCUGACGGCAAGGGACGAAAGCUAGGGGCACGAACC